rnacentral:tRNA from 1 species
AAAGAUAAGCUAAGAAGCUAGCUG